rnacentral:rRNA from 1 species
AACGAACGCUGGUGGCGUGUCUUAUACAUGCAAGUCGAGCGGUGCAGCAAUGCAUAGCGGCGGACGGGUGAGUAACGCGUGGGAAACCUGCCCUUCACAGAGGGACAGCCGAGGGAAACUUCGAUUAAUACCUCAUAACGCAUCGAGGUCGCAUGGCCAUGAUGCCAAAGAUUUAUCGGUGAAGGAUGGUCCCGCGUCUGAUUAGCUAGUUGGUGAGGCAGCGGCUCACCAAGGCGACGAUCAGUAGCCGGCCUGAGAGGGUGAACGGCCACAUUGGAACUGAGACACGGUCCAGACUCC